rnacentral:rRNA from 1 species
AGAGUUUGAUCCUGGCUCAGGACGAACGCUGGCGGUGUGCUUCACACAUGCAAGUCGAACGAGGUAGCAAUACCUAGUGGCGGACGGGUGAGUAACACGUGAGAAUUUGCCUUUAGGAGGGGGAUAACAAUUGGAAACGAAUGCUAAUACCCCAUAUGCUUUCGAGUGAAAUGAAUUUUUUAUUUGCCUAAAGAGAAGCUCGCGGCUGAUUAGCUUGUUGGUAAGGUAAUGGCUCACCAAGGCGACGAUCCGUAACUGGUCUGAGAGGACGAUCAGACACACUGGAACUGAGACACGGUCCAGACUCCUACGGGAGGCAGCAGUGGGGAAUUUUCCGCAAUGGGCGAAAGCCUGACGGAGCAAUACCGCGUGAGGGAAGAAUGCCUAUGGGUUGUAAACCUCUUUUUUCAGGGAGGAAUAAAUGACGUGUACCUGAAGAAUAAGCAUCGGCUAACUCCGUGCCAGCAGCCGCGGUAAGACGGAGGAUGCAAGUGUUAUCCGGAAUCACUGGGCGUAAAGCGUCUGUAGGUGGUUUAAUAAGUCAACUGUUAAAUCUUGAGGCUCAACUUCAAAAUCGCAGCUGAAACUAUUAGACUAGAGUAUAGUAGAGGUAAAGGGAAUUUCCAGUGUAGCGGUGAAAUGCGUAGA